GCAUAACGCGAAGAACCUUACCAGGUCUUGACAUCCCUCUGACCGGUCCUUAACCGGGCCUUCCCUUCGGGGCAGAGGAGACAGGUGCUGCAUGGCUGUCGUCAGCUCGUGUUGUGAAAUGCUGGGUUAAGUCCGGCAACGAGCGCAACCCUCGCCAUUAGUUGCCAGCAUUUCGGAUGGGCACUCUAGUGGGACUGCCUAUGAAAGUAGGAGGAAGGCGGGGAUGACGUCUAGUCAGCAUGGUCCUUACGGCCUGGGCGACACACGUGCUACAAUGGCCGGUACAACGCGCUGCCACCUCGCGAGAGGGAGCUAAUCGUUAAAGCCGGUCCCAGUUCGGAUUGCAGUCUGCAACUCGACUGCAUGAAGUUGGAAUCGCUAGUAAUCGCGGAUCAGCCAUGCCGCGGUGAAUACGUUCCCGGGUCUUGUACACACCG
rnacentral:rRNA from 1 species